rnacentral:lncRNA from 1 species
UUCGUUAUUUUGCCUUGUCAGCUGUUCCUUCUCUGAGCAGAAAUCCCUACAACUUCUCCCACCAGAAAAAUGUCAAGUCCAGAGCAAAUGGCCCUUCAUCAGAGAUGACGUUCCACAAUAAAGCUCUCACUCUGGGAGAAGCAAGCUACCACGUUGUGAAAAGCCCUAUGGAGAGGCCCACAUGAUGAGGAACUGAAGCUUUCAGCCACCAGCCAGGGAGGAAUGGAGCCCUGUCAGCAACCAUAGGAAUGAACUUGGAAGCAGAUUCACCAGCAACAGCCUAGCUCUGGUCAACAGCUCUAACAGCCUCAUGAGAGACCUGGUAGCAGAACCAUGCAGAUAUGCUGCUUUUUGAUUCCUCAGAAACUGUGAGAGAAAAUAAAUGUUUGUUUUUUAAAACUGCAAAUG